rnacentral:rRNA from 1 species
GCGCAUGCAGGCGGCCUGUUAAGUCAGAUGUGAAAGCCCCGGGGCUUAACCUCGGAAUUGCAUUUGAAACUGGCAGGCUAGAGUCUUGUAGAGGGGGUAGAAUUUCAGGUGUAGCGGUGAAAUGCGUAGAGAUCUGAAGGAAUACCAGUGGCGAAGGCGGCCCCCUGGACAAAGACUGACGCUCAGAUGCGAAAGCGUGGGGAGCCAAACAGGAUUAGAUACCCUGGGAG